rnacentral:rRNA from 1 species
GCACUACAACGGGUGGAGCCUGCGGUUUAAUUGGACUCAACGCCGGAAAACUCACCGGGGGCGACAGCAACAUGUAGGUCAGGCUAAAGACCUUACCUGAAUCGCUGAGAGGAGGUGCAUGGCCGUCGUCAGUUCGUACUGUGAAGCAUCCUGUUAAGUCAGGCAACGCGCGAGACCCGUGCCCACUGUUGCCAGCAUGUCCUUCGGGAUGAUGGGUACUCUGUGGGGACCGCUGGUGCUAAACCAGAGGAAGGUGCGGGCUACGGUAGGUCAGUAUGCCCCGAAUCUCCCGGGCUACACGCGGGCUACAAUGGCUGGGACAAUGGGUCCCUACACCGAAAGGUGAUGGUAAUCUCUUAAACCCAGCCGUAGUUCGAAUCGAGGACUGUAACUCGUCCUCGUGAAGCUGGAAUCCGUAGUAAUCGCGUUUCAACAUAGCGCGGUGAAUACGUCCCUGCUCCUUGCACACACCGCCCGUCAAACCACCCGAGUGAGGUAUGGGUGAGGGCACGGAUUUUGUGCCGUGUUCGAACCUAAAUUUCGCAAGGGGGGUU